rnacentral:rRNA from 1 species
GUGGGGAAUCUUGCGCAAUGGGCGAAAGCCUGACGCAGCCAUGCCGCGUGAAUGAUGAAGGUCUUAGGAUUGUAAAAUUCUUUCACCGGGGACGAUAAUGACGGUACCCGGAGAAGAAGCUCCGGCUAACUUCGUGCCAGCAGCCGCGGUAAUACGAAGGGGGCUAGCGUUGCUCGGAAUUACUGGGCGUAAAGGGCGCGUAGGCGGACAGCUUAGUCAGAGGUGAAAGCCCAGGGCUCAACCUUGGAAUUGCCUUUGAUACUGGCUGUCUUGAGUUUGGGAGAGGUGAGUGGAACUCCGAGUGUAGAGGUGAAAUUCGUAGAUAUUCGGAAGAACACCAGUGGCGAAGGCGACUCACUGGCCCAAUACUGACGCUGAGGCGCGAAAGCGUGGGGAGCAAACAGGAUUAGAAACCCGUGUAGCC